rnacentral:rRNA from 1 species
CGAAUGCUGACAUAAGUAACGAUAAAGCGGGUGAAAAGCCCGCUCGCCGGAAGACCAAGGGUUCCUGUCCAACGUUAAUCGGGGCAGGGUGAGUCGACCCCUAAGGCGAGGCCGAAAGGCGUAGUCGAUGGGAAACAGGUUAAUAUUCCUGUACUUGGUGUUACUGCGAAGGGGGGACGGAGAAGGCUAUGUUGGCCGGGCGACGGUUGUCCCGGUUUAAGCGUGUAGGCUGGUUUUCCAGGCAAAUCCGGAAAAUCAAGGCUGAGGCGUGAUGACGAGGCACUACGGUGCUGAAGCAACAAAUGCCCUGCUUCCAGGAAAAGCCUCUAAGCAUCAGGUAACAUCAAAUCGUACCCCAAACCGACACAGGUGGUCAGGUAGAGAAUACCAAGGCGCUUGAGAGAACUCGGGUGAAGGAACUAGGCAAAAUGGUGCCGUAACUUCGGGAGAAGGCACGCUGAUAUGUAGGUGAAGUCCCUCGCGGAUGGAGCUGAAAUCAGUCG